rnacentral:lncRNA from 1 species
CCCGGCCAUGUCCCCGCAGGUCCCGGACUGAUGCCGGAGGUGACGAUACUGGUGGUGGUGGCCACCGUGCUGAUGGUGCUGGGACUUGGCUUAUUUCUCGCCGGCGUCUACCGCUACAAGGCCAGGCCUCCUGCCCCAGGUUACACUCCCCUCCCUGGAGACAACUACCCGGCAGGCAGCAUCUGAGGACCCCCAGACGGACACCUCCUGGCACCGGCGGCUCCCAGUUGGCCCCAUCUCAGACCCGAUGUCGAGGUGCUGACAAUAAAGUUGCUCCACAAGCCCCGCUGGUGUCUGUGCAGUGUUCUGGGCACAGGACAGAGGCUCACACAGUCCUACGGUGUCUCACAAAGAGGAGCGGGUGUGUGGGGGACAUGGCAUGGGACCCCAAAGGGCCAAGCGUGCCCUGGGGUGCCUCAGGCACGGCACUGCUGGCUGGCCGAGGGAAGGGAUCGUCCGGCUCUGCUCGGCCUGCUGCGGCCUCUCCUCGAGCACUGCGUGCAGCUGUGGGCACCGCAGCAGACGAAGGGCGUGAAACUGUGCGAGAGCCUCCAAGGGAGGGCUACGAGGACGGCGAAGGCUCUGCAGGGCAAGGCGUGUGAGGAGACGGUCUGCUGCAAGACGCCUUCCCAGGCAGCAAGGCCUCAGGACACAAAGCACCCAGGAAAUGCCACUGCCAGACUCCAUCUUCCUGUACAAAACUUUAUUUGACACAGUCCUGCUGCUGCUGGGCCUUGGAUAUAUAUACUCUAGAGGAAGGAAUAAAGAGCCCCCACAGGCUGCUC